UUUCCUGACCUCCCUCCACCCAUCUUCAAACCUCUGGGUUAUUGAGCAAGAGGAGUUCUGUUCUCCAGACACAGCACAGGAAGAGCUUUUGGAAAUUACCCAGCUUGUUGGGCUGGUGUUCCUGGGUGGCGGAGUCAGAAGCAAGUUAAGGAAGAAGAAGACUUCGCAGAGAUGUGGCUCAGUAACACCUGAGGUGACUAAUUUCAGCACAAGUCAAGCUCCAUACCAUCGUGAUGAGGAAAGUGGUGGUGCAACAACGGAGCUUAUCUAUGACCAGAGAGGUGCAGAAACAUAGGUAUACCUCUGUCUGUAAAUGCUCUCAUAAACAUCUGUAUGCACGUGGUCCCAUUCAGAAGGCAGUAAAGUGCUCCCCUGCUUGCAGUCAGAAGCAUGAGUCUGUGUCCCAGGCACCAGAUUACAGCCGUCAAAGGGAAGAUCUUGCUGUCCAAGGCCAAACGUCUUUAUCAGAUAGAUGUUUGUUCUGAAAGAGCAUCUGUGAAGAAGGACAGUAGUUGGUUUGCUUGUUUUCUUCCCAGACUUUGGGAUCCUAGCCUGGAUUUUUUUUUUUUUUUUUAAUUAUUAUUUUAAUGUGUUGUACAAGUAAUGGGAGUUCUGCUCUGGUUAAAGCCAGCGUUUGCCUUUAGAAAGAGAUCUGAAAUGAGGCACAUAGCAACAAACACUAAAACAGAGUUCUUGAAGACAGAAGUUAUAAUAUAUCUAGGGCUAAUUGGAGGAUUAUUUUAACUUCUUGAACCUGUGCUGAAGAGUGAACUCUUCCCCUUGCCUUUCAAGUUAUGUGAGAAUUAUGUGAAAGUUGACAAGUACAGCUCACUGAGUGUGACCACAGCAAUGCUGCUGCUUUUUGAAGGAGCAUCAGACUCUAUCAGGGGUUAAGACAACUCACUUGGAAGAGAAUAGUAACUAUGAAAGUGCAGGUAAGGUACAAAGUACAGAAAACGGGAUGAGACUCCAAGGACUGCUACUACUGCAAAAGCAAAGUUCUGAAACAACACCUCGAGAUCAGUUAGCUGAUGAAUACUUCACUGCCUUUUGACCUGUGUGUAGAUUUCCCAGAGAUUAUUGUUGGGAUCACUUUGAUAUGAAAAAUGAAAUCCUUACAGCAUCGUGGCAACAUUUAUUAUCUGUGCCUACUAUCACCAGAUUAACAGAUGCAUCUGGGUGACUGCUUAAGGAUGAUGAGAUGCCAGAGCACUGAGAGUAUAGAAGAAAAUCAGUGGAGAAUAAAUGGUGAUAAGAAUAAAUAGAAUUCUUCAAGAAAAAUUUCUAUGUAUAGAUAUCUUAACAAAGAGAAAUUAAUCUUAGCAUGUUUUAUCAGACAGGUGCCAUACAAAAUGACAAUCCUUUAAAGGAGACGGCCAAGUUGGAGAAGUGUCUUCUAUUAAAGUAUGAGUGAUAACCACUAUGAAAGCAGACUAAGCUAAGCCAGCCAUCUGUUGAUAUGACAGUGUUUUUAUAGGCUGUUCUGCUUACAACCUUAAAAAAAAAAAAAAAGAAAAAAAAGGCAUUAAGGACUUGAAAAUAUUUGUUUUUACUGAACGAAAUCCUGUGUACUGGGCAGCAGCAUGGAGUUACGAUCUCAAGCCUGGGAAAGAGCUGAGAUUUUUUUUCACACGGACAUGCUUCAGCAAAACAGAAUCCAAUCCACAGAAAUACCCUUCCUCAGAGAACUGAUCAUCUAUCUCGCAAAAAUUAGGAGGCUGCACAUCCUGUGGGAAGAACAGGAUAGUUAUUACAGCCAGAGGCACAACCUGGUGGGCAUCAGAGAUGAUACAGAACCCCCAGAUCGAUUAAAACAACGUGGAGAGUGAUGUGGAAAAAGAAGUGAACAAGCCAAAUGUGCCACCUUGAUGGGGGCUAAUAAACUAAAGCGCUUGUGCUUUCAGAAGAGCUUUCCAUGGGUGCCCACAAAAAAGGUCUAAACAAGAGGAUGCCCCUCACAUGGGCCUGUGAGAGGACAGCCUAUUGAGCUUAAGAUAUAUACUAAAGAACAUCAAAACAUUUCGUUCAGGAGAAUGUAAUGCACAAAUAUAUGUAAGCAUGUGAUAAGGUCAGUGACUAUAAACAUGGGAAAUGUUACAGUGACAGCAGGGUUUUUCCUUUAGGUUUCUAAAUAAGGGGUUUAGAGUUCUGUAUGUGGACUAUAUGCCUGCUACUUUCAUGAAGUCUAAUUAACCAGCCACUUGUAAGCUUUAACCCUUUCUACGUGAGCUAUGCUUCAGCCCAUCAUUUGCUGUGGGAGAAACCAAAACAUCACAGUGUGGGCAAAAGAUCUUGUUACAAUGAUUAUACAUAAAAUAAAUGUAUUUGUCUUC